GACGAACGCUGGCGGCGUGCUUAACACAUGCAAGUCGAACGGUAAGGCCCUUCGGGGUACACGAGUGGCGAACGGGUGAGUAACACGUGGGUGAUCUGCCCUGCACUUCGGGAUAAGCCUGGGGAACUGGGUCUAAUACCGGAUAGGACCACUGCCUGCAUGGGUGGUGGUGGAAAGCUUUUGCGGUGUGGGAUGGGCCCGCGGCCUAUCAGCUUGUUGGUGGGGUGAUGGCCUACCAAGGCGACGACGGGUAGCCGGCCUGAGAGGGUGACCGGCCACACUGGGACUGAGAUACGGCCCAGACUCCUACGGGAGGCAGCAGUGGGGAAUAUUGCACAAUGGGCGCAAGCCUGAUGCAGCGACGCCGCGUGAGGGAUGACGGCCUUCGGGUUGUAAACCUCUUUCAGCACCGACGAAGCGCAAGUGACGGUAGGUGCAGAAGAAGGACCGGCCAACUACGUGCCAGCAGCCGCCGUAAUAC
rnacentral:rRNA from 1 species